CUCAAGAUGAACGCUGGCGGCGUGCCUAACACAUGCAAGUCGAACGAAGCGUGCGGAUGGAAUUUCUUCGGAGAGGAAGCCUGCAUGACUGAGUGGCGGACGGGUGAGUAACGCGUGGGCAACCUGCCCUGCACAGGGGGACAACAGCCGGAAACGGCUGCUAAUACCGCAUAAGCGCACAGCUUCGCAUGGAGCGGUGUGAAAAGCUGCGGCGGUGCAGGAUGGGCCCGCGUCUGAUUAGCUGGUUGGCGGGGCAACGGCCCACCAAGGCGACGAUCAGUAGCCGGCCUGAGAGGGUGGACGGCCACAUUGGGACUGAGACACGGCCCAGACUCCUACGGGAGGCAGCAGUGGGGAAUAUUGCACAAUGGGGGAAACCCUGAUGCAGCGACGCCGCGUGAGCGAAGAAGUAUUUCGGUAUGUAAAGCUCUAUCAGCAGGGAAGAAAUUGACGGUACCUGAGUAAGAAGCUCCGGCUAAAUACGUGCCAGCAGCCGCGGU
rnacentral:rRNA from 1 species